UACAGAGGGUGCGAGCGCUGUCCGGAAUCACUGGGCGUAAAGGGCGCGUAGGUGGCGCUGCAAGUCGGUGGUGAAAGCUCGAUGCUUAACAUCGAGUCGGCCAUCGAAACUGCAGGGCUGGAGCACUGUAGGGGCAGAUGGAAUUCCGGGUGUAGCGGUGGAAUGCGUAGAGAUCCGGAAGAACACCGGUGGCGAAGGCGGUCUGCUGGGCAGUUGCUGACACUGAGGCGCGACAGCGUGGGGAGCAAACAGG
rnacentral:rRNA from 1 species